rnacentral:rRNA from 1 species
GACGAACGCUGGCGGCGUGCUUAACACAUGCAAGUCGAACGAUGAAGCGGUGCUUGCACCGUGGAUUAGUGGCGAACGGGUGAGUAAUACGUGAGUGACCUACCUUUGACUCUGGGAUAAGCCUGGGAAACUGGGUCUAAUACCGGAUACGACAAAUCUCUGCAUGGGGUGUUGGUGGAAAGAGUUAUGGAGUGGUUUUAGAUGGGCUCACGGCCUAUCAGCUUGUUGGUGAGGUAAUGGCUUACCAAGGCGACGACGGGUAGCCGGCCUGAGAGGGUGACCGGCCACACUGGGACUGAGACACGGCCCAGACUCCUACGGGAGGCAGCAGUGGGGAAUAUUGCACAAUGGGCGCAAGCCUGAUGCAGCGACGCCGCGUGAGGGAUGACGGCCUUCGGGUUGUAAACCUCUGUUAGCAUCGAAGAAGCGAAAGUGACGGUAGGUGCAGAGAAAGCGCCGGCUAACUACGUG